AAUUGCAGAGCUUUAUGAGCCUUCCCCCGCCCUGCAGAGCUCAGUCUGCGCGGAGCCCUCCAUGGGUGAAGAUGGAUUAUUUUUUUUUGCGCUGUUUUUUUUAAUUGCGUCGGUUAUUAUGGAUUUUUAUUUGGCCUUUUUGGGGGCUGAAAAAAAUAAGAUUUUAGAAGAAAGAAAACAUUGAAUGAUAAGUUUUAUUUUAUUUACAGGAACAUAGUUAAAGGACCCCC